CUGAGUUACUACUCUCAACCCUUUGUGAACUUUUACCUAGUGUUGCUUCGGCAGGUUUUCCCUGGGAGGGAAGUAGCCUUCGGGCAAUCUGCCAGAGGCAUUUUUACUCUGAUUUAUUUUGAAUUCUGAGUUUCUUAUUAAAAAGAAAA
rnacentral:misc_RNA from 1 species